GACGAACGCUGGCGGCGUGCCUAAUACAUGCAAGUCGAGCGAGCUUGCCUAGAUGAAUUUGGUGCUUGCACCAAAUGAAACUAGAUACAAGCGAGCGGCGGACGGGUGAGUAACACGUGGGUAACCUGCCCAAGAGACUGGGAUAACACCUGGAAACAGAUGCUAAUACCGGAUAACAACACUAGACGCAUGUCUAGAGUUUAAAAGAUGGUUCUGCUAUCACUCUUGGAUGGACCUGCGGUGCAUUAGCUAGUUGGUAAGGUAACGGCUUACCAAGGCAAUGAUGCAUAGCCGAGUUGAGAGACUGAUCGGCCACAUUGGGACUGAGACACGGCCCAAACUCCUACGGGAGGCAGCAGUAGGGAAUCUUCCACAAUGGACGCAAGUCUGGUGGAGCAACGCCGCGUGAGUGAAGAAGGGUUUCGGCUCGUAAAGCUCUGUUGGUAGUGAAGAAAGAUAGAGGUAGUAACUGGCCUUUAUUUGACGGUAAUUACUUAGAAAGUCACGGCUAACUACGUGCCAGCAGCCGCGGUAAUACGUAGGUGGCAAGCGUUGUCCGGAUUUAUUGGGCGUAAAGCGAGUGCAGGCGGUUCAAUAAGUCUGAUGUGAAAGCCUUCGGCUCAACCGGAGAAUUGCAUCAGAAACUGUUGAACUUGAGUGCAGAAGAGGAGAGUGGAACUCCAUGUGUAGCGGUGGAAUGCGUAGAUAUAUGGAAGAACACCAGUGGCGAAGGCGGCUCUCUGGUCUGCAACUGACGCUGAGGCUCGAAAGCAUGGGUAGCGAACAGG
rnacentral:rRNA from 1 species